CGGCGCGUUUUAAGCAUGCAAGUCGAGCGGCAAGGGCCUUCGGGCCCCUAGAGCGGCGGACGGGUGAGUAACACGUGGACAAUCUGCCCCCGGCCCGGGAUAGCCCAGGGAAACCUGGAUUAAUACCGGAUGAGACGGGACCCGCGAUGGCGGGACCCGGGAAAGGCGCUGCGGCGCCGCCGGGGGAUGAGUCUGCGUCCCAUUAGCUAGACGGCGGGGUAACGGCCCACCGUGGCGACGAUGGGUAGCCGGCCUGAGAGGGUGGACGGCCACAUUGGAACUGAGACACGGUCCAGACUCCUACGGGAGGCAGCAGCUAAGAAUCUUCCGCAAUGGGCGAAAGCCUGACGGAGCGACGCCCGCGUGAACGAAGAAGGCCGUGAGGUUGUAAAGUUCUUUUCGGGAGGGGGAACAACCGUGGCAGGGAAUGGCCGCGGGAUGACGUGAAUCCCGGAAUAAGCCCCGACUAACUACGUGCCAGCAGCCGC
rnacentral:rRNA from 1 species